rnacentral:rRNA from 1 species
GAUGAACGCUGGCGGCGUGCCUAAUACAUGCAAGUCGAGCGAACAGACGAGGCGCUUGCUCCUCUGACGUUAGCGGCGGACGGGUGAGUAACACGUGGAUAACCUACCUAUAAGACUGGGAUAACUUCGGGAAACCGGAGCUAAUCCCGGAUAAUCUAUUGAACCGCAUGGUUCAAUAGUGAAAGACGGCUUUGCUGUCACUUAUAGAUGGAUCCGCGCCGCAUUAGCUAGUUGGUAAGGUAACGGCUUACCAAGGCAACGAUGCGUAGCCGACCUGAGAGGGUGAUCGGCCACACUGGAACUGAGACACGGUCCAGACUCCUACGGGAGGCAGCAGUAGGGAAUCGUCCGCAAUGGGCGAAAGCCUGACGGAGCAACGCCGCGUGAGUGAUGAAGGUCUUCGGAUCGUAAAACUCUGUUAUUAGGGAAGAACAAAUGUGUAAGUAACUAUGCACGGCUUGACGGUACCUAAUCAGAAAGCCACGGCUAACUACGUG